rnacentral:rRNA from 1 species
UACGUAGGGCGCAAGCGUUAUCCGGAUUUAUUGGGCGUAAAGAGCUCGUAGGCGGUUUGUCGCGUCUAUCGUGAAAGACCAGGGCUCAACCCUGGUUCUGCGGUGGGUACGGGCAGACUAGAGUGAUGUAGGGGAGACUGGAAUUCCUGGUGUAGCGGUGAAAUGCGCAGAUAUCAGGAGGAACACCGAUGGCGAAGGCAGGUCUCUGGGCAUUUACUGACGCUGAGGAGCGAAAGCAUGGGGAGCGAACAGG